GAUGAACGCUAGCGGCAGGCCUAAUACAUGCAAGUCGAACGGGAUUGAGAAGCUUGCUUUUCAUGAGAGUGGCGCACGGGUGCGUAACACGUAUGUAACCACCUUAAUCUGGGGGAUAGCCUCUCGAAAGAGAGAUUAACACCGCAUAACAUCACGAUAUAGCAUUUUAUUGUGAUCAAAUAUUUAUAGAAUUAAGAUGG
rnacentral:rRNA from 1 species